UCUUAUGGAUGAGCAAAUAAAGUGGUUUCUUGAGAUAGAAUUUACUUGUGGUGAAGAUUCUGUGAA
rnacentral:pre_miRNA from 1 species